rnacentral:rRNA from 1 species
GGGGAAUCUUCCGCAAUGGGCGCAAGCCUGACGGAGCAAGACCGCGUGAGGGAAGAAGGCUUUUGGGUCGUAAACCUCUUUUCUCAAGGAAGAAACCUGACGGUACUUGAUGAAGAAGCCUCGGCUAACUCCGUGCCAGCAGCCGCGGUAAUACGGAGGAGGCAAGCGUUAUCCGGAAUUAUUGGGCGUAAAGCGUCCGUAGGUGGCUUAUCAAGUCUGCGGUCAAAGACUGGAGCUCAACUCCAGGAAGGCCGUGGAAACUGAGGAGCUAGAGUCCGGUAGGGGUAGAGGGAAUUCCCAGUGUAGCGGUGAAAUGCGUAGAGAUUGGGAAGAACACCGGUGGCGAAAGCGCUCUGCUGGACCGGAACUGACACUGAGGGACGAAAGCUAGGGGAGCGAAUGGGAUUAGAUACCCCAGUAGUCA